rnacentral:rRNA from 1 species
GAUGAACGCUAGCGGCGUGCCUAAUACAUGCAAGUCGAGCGAAUGGAUUAAGAGCUUGCUCUUAUGAAGUUAGCGGCGGACGGGUGAGUAACACGUGGGUAACCUGCCCAUAAGACUGGGAUAACUCCGGGAAACCGGGGCUAAUACCGGAUAACAUUUUGAACCGCAUGGUUCGAAAUUGAAAGGCGGCUUCGGCUGUCACUUAUGGAUGGACCCGCGUCGCAUUAGCUAGUUGGUGAGGUAACGGCUCACCAAGGCAACGAUGCGUAGCCGACCUGAGAGGGUGGUCGGCCAAACUGGGACUGAGACACGGCCCAGACUCCUACGGGAGGCAGCAGUAGGGAAUCUUCCGCAAUGGACGAAAGUCUGACGGAGCAACGCCGCGUGAGUGAUGAAGGCUUUCGGGUCGUAAAACUCUGUUGUUAGGGAAGAACAAGUGCUAGUUGAAUAAGCUGGCACCUUGACGGUACCUAACCAGAAAGCCACGGCUAACUACGUGCCAGCCGCCGCCGUAA